rnacentral:lncRNA from 1 species
UAAACAUUGCUUGCAUCCAAGGAUAGUGGACAGUAUAUUGGCUCCCCCUUCCCCUGCCCUCCAUAUUGCCAUAAAAUUCCCAAACUAUUCAGUACACUUUAAUUUCCAAGAUUAUUAAUUUGUACAGAUGCUGGGGGGAGAGGUAGACAAUUACCAUCAUUAAAAUGCUGCAUUACUUUAUAUCAUUGAAUAAUGUCAAACAUUUUUUAAAAUUUUUUUAUCAUUUAAAAACAUCUCUUUAAGCUGGAAGCUCUUUGACAUCCUUUGGAACAGAAACAUCAAACAGUGGUACCUUACCCCAAAGUAGUGCGGUUGGUUCUGCCUUUACACAGGAUACAAGAUCUCUAAAAACACAGUUAUCUCAAGGUCGCUCAAGCCCUCAGUUAGACCCUUUGAGAAAAAGCCCAACCAUGGAACAAGCAGUGCAGACCGCCUCAGCCCACUUACCUGCUCCAGCAGCUGUUGGGAGAAGGAGUCCUGUAUCAACCAGGCCUUUGCCAUCUGCCAGCCAAAAGGCAGGAGAGAAUCAGGAGCACAGGCGAGCUGAAGUACACAAAGUUUCAAGGCCAGAAAAUGAGCAACUCAGAAAUGAUAACAAGAGACAAGUAGCUCCAGGUGCUCCUUCAGCUCCAAGGAGAGGGCGUGGGGGUCAUCGGGGUGGCAGGGGAAGAUUUGGUAUUCGGCGAGAUGGGCCAAUGA